UACUUCCAAACCGUUAUUCAA
rnacentral:misc_RNA from 1 species